GCCUCCCUGCGGCCGCCGGCAGCGAAGUGCUGAGUCACGGUGAGGCAGCUGCGCGGCGCCCUUCGAGCCCACCUUCCCCACGCCUCCCCCGCCGCACGGGCUGCAGCAGCCGCCCUCACCGGGAGGGACUACAGGGCGCCCGCAGGGCCGGGCGGGUGCCGGCGAUCAGUUAGCAGGACCCCGCCCUCUCUGGCCCGCCUCAGACUCCCAGGGGAAUCUCCUAGGCAGAUGGCCAGAGAUGCUUAAGUAGUCCUCUGCAGUGGGGUGCAAGUGGCAGACAACUUUUCUUUCUGCAGACCACUGCGAUCUGCUCAGCCUCAGAACACUCUCUUUUUAGCCUUGGACAUGGCGUGGUCCAAAAAGGUUACCCUCUCACUACUCAGCCGGGAGCAGUCGGAAGGGGUUGGAGCGCGGGUCCGCAGAAGCAUCGGCAGACCUGAGUUAAAACAUCUGGAUCCAUUUUUAUUGUUUGAUGAAUUUAAAGGCGGUAGACCAGGUGGAUUUCCUGAUCACCCGCACCGAGGUUUUGAAACAGUAUCUUACCUCCUGGAAGGGGGCAGCAUGGCCCAUGAAGACUUCUGUGGACACACUGGUCAGUUGAACCCAGGAGACCUGCAGUGGAUGACCGCGGGCCGGGGCAUCGUGCACGCCGAGAUGCCUUGCUCAGAGGAGCCAGUCCACGGCCUACAACUGUGGGUUAAUUUGAGGAGCCCACAGAAGAUGGUGGAGCCUCGGUAUCAGGAACUGAAAAGCAACGAAAUCCCUAAACCCAGUAAGGAGGGCGUGACCGUUGCUGUCAUUUCUGGAGAAGCCCUGGGAGUCAAGUCCAAGAUUUACACUUACACACCAACUUUAUAUUUGGACUUCAAAUUGGGCCAAGGAGCAAAGCAUUCCCACCCUAUUCCUAAAGGGUGGACAAGCUUCAUUUAUACCAUAUCUGGAAAUGUGUAUAUUGGACCUGAUGACACACAACAAAAAAUAGAACCUCAUCACACAGCCGUGCUGGGGGAAGGUGACAGUGUCCAGGUGGAGAACAAGAGAUGGGGAUCAACCCUGGGCUCCUCUGGACAUUUAAGCCUGGACUGUAAUGGUCACCCUGGAACAACCUCUGUCUCAAGCGUUAAAGCUCCCUGUGCUGCUUUGGCCCACAGUUGGUACCCUGGUUGCCAAGAUGGCUCCAUGGUCAGGAGCACAGGGAUUUGAUGUGGAGACUUGAUCUCAGCUUAAAACUCCUGUUUAUACUAGCGUCCUAUUGAGAAAGUCUUAAGCCUCGUGGAUUAGCAAACUUACUUGCAGUUUGUCAAGGUAGACAAUCAGUUCCUCAUUGACUGCCAUCAAAACCAUACUUGAGAAUAAGGAUACUCUUUAACUGGCACCAUUCAUGGGGAAUUCAUUAAACUAAUACAGAUUAAUAUUUGAUUAAAAUAAAGAUCGAAAGACAACUAAAACACCCUUUUAAACCUAGAGACAACUUUUUGCUGAUGUGUAAAAAUUCAUAAUAAAAUAAACCAUUAAUCUUCAAAAACUGCUAACAGUUCACUGUUUUCUCUUUCAAUUGGCCUAAGAAGUAUAAACAGUGAAGUCUAGUAAGAACAAUUACAUGCAUAAGUCCUGUUAAAGCUCAGUUUCUUUCUGAUAAUGUUUUCAGGUAAUAUUUCACCAUAAUAAAUGUUCCUGAUGCAGAAGUAUGCCCUUAGUUUCCUUCUUGGAGUCCCACUGCCAUCUCAAGCUUUGUAUUUCUGAUUAAUCAAACAAACUCUGAGUACAUACUUACAGUGUAGAAGUUAUCAACACCUUAAAUAAAUCCUAGCGCCUUCAUCUGGGCUUCAAUCAUUUAUUGUUGGUGUCAGUGGAACUCAAGACAUAUCUUGCCAGUAUUUAUGGAAUAACAAAGAGCAAUUUGUAAAAGUAAAUUAUUACGUAAACCCAGAAGGGCCUGACUCGAAACUAGGAACUCUGAGAAUGUGUGCCAAAGUGAAAGACAUGGUCUGGGCCCCAAGAGAUCGUGAGUUUCAGUUGGGGCAACUGUCCAUGAAGCAGUAAGUGAACUUCUGUUGCCUUUGUGUGAGGGUCUCUUCAUCAGAACCUAACAGGGCACUGACUUAGAUCCACACAGGGACUCAUGAUCUUAAACAAGUCUUUCUUUCUCUUUGCUUUGGCCUGAUUUUCAUCAUUUGACACUGUACCCAAGGUCGCCAUAGAGGAGGACUUUUCAAGAUAGCAGCAUUCGGGACUUGGAGCCACAAAAGCACUCUACUGAAUAUCCAGAAAGAUGAUCAGCUUUCACCGAAGAAGGCUAGUUAAGGGAGGAAAAAGGAUGCACUUAAGAAAAAAGAAGAAGACCCAAAACAUCUGGCUUAGGUUACUACAGAGCACUGAGUAGAGUUCCCUGUGCUAUACAUUUCAGGGAAAAAAACCUAAUCUUAAUUCUGAACAAAAACUUUUAGAGACUUUAACACAAUAGGACACUUUUGGAGAGAAAUUUACCUGAGCAGGAUCCUGAGAGAAGCCACUUCAUCCUGAUAGCUGGGGAGCCAUUAAGAGAACCAGUUGUCCAACAUGGUCCAUUUGUGAUGAACACAGAU